UACAGAGGUCCCAAGCGUUGUUCGGAUUCACUGGGCGUAAAGGGUGCGUAGGUGGCAGGGUAAGUUUGAUGUGAAAUCUCCGAGCUUAACUCGGAAACUGCAUUGAAUACUAUCCUGCUCGAGGGUUGGAAGGGGGACUGGAAUUCUCGGUGUAGCAGUGAAAUGCGUAGAUAUCAAGUGGAACACCAGUGGCGAAGGCGAGUCUCUGGACAUUUCCUGACGCUGAGGCACGAAAGCCAGGGGAGCAAACGGG
rnacentral:rRNA from 1 species